UCCAGCAGCCGCGGUAAUACGUUCUCGGGCCUUGUACACACCGCCCGUCACACCAUGGAAGCCAGCUGUACCGGAAGUCGGUGCGCCAACCCCAAGAGGGAGGUAGCCGCCCAUGGUAUGACUGGUGACUGGGGUGAAGUCGUAACAAGGUAGCCGUAGGGGAACCUGCGGCUGGAUCACCUCCUUUCUAAGGAGCUGUGGCUUUUCCCAAAGCCAUGAUUCCUAGGUCAAUCCUCAUGAGUCUCCCUCAUGAGGCCUUUAUCUCCCCUAGCUAAACUCCCCUAACCCUCACGCUACUAUUUAGUUUUGAAGGACCACGGAUCAGCGAAGGUUUGGCGCUUUUCAGUCGUAUAAAAAGACGUUCAAAAGCUUUGAUGAUCUCUUGGACUUCACCGCAAAUCGAAUUUUUGAUUUGCGUUUUGUUCUUUGACAACUGAAUACCGGAAAGAGAGUGCCAGAAAGGAAAGCGCGCUUGGUAGCGACGGUGAAUGUGGUCAAGCUACUAAGGGCAUACGGUGGAUACCUAGGCACACAGAGA
rnacentral:sRNA from 1 species